rnacentral:rRNA from 1 species
GAUGAACGCUAGCUACAGGCUUAACACAUACAAGUCGAGGGACCGGCGCACGGGUGAGUCACACGAAUCCAACCUUCCCUUUACCCGGGGAUAGCCUUUCGAAUGAAAGACUAAUACUCGAUGUAAUGGGGGGGGAUGCGUUCCAUUAGGUUGUUGGCGAGGUAACGGCUAAGCAAGCCUUCGAUGGAUAGGGGUUCUGAGAGGAAGGUCCCCCACAUUGGAACUGAGACACGGUCCAAACUCCUACGGAAGGCAGCAGUGAGGAAUAUUGGUCAAUGGGCGUUAGCCUGAACCAGCCAAGUAGCGUGAAGGAUGAAGGCUUAUGGGUCGUAAACUUCUUGUAUAUAAGAAUAUGUAUUAUAUGAAUAAGGAUCGGCUAACUCCGUGCCAGCAGCCGCGGUAAUAC